CCAAAGGCUCUUUUAAGAGCCACCAAUCCUUUACAUUUGAAGAGCU
rfam:Balearica pavonina gibbericeps contig97143, whole genome shotgun sequence.